rnacentral:rRNA from 1 species
UCCGUAGGGUGCGAGCGUUGUCCGGAAUUAUUGGGCGUAAAGGGCUCGUAGGCGGUUUGUCGCGUCGGGAGUGAAAUCCACUGGCUUAACUGGUGGCUUGCUUUCGAUACGGGCAGACUGGAGGUAUGCAGGGGAGAACGGAAUUCCUGGUGUAGCGGUGAAAUGCGCAGAUAUCAGGAGGAACACCGGUGGCGAAGGCGGGUCUCUGGGCCGAUACUGACGCUGAGGAGCGAAAGCGUGGGGAGCGAACAGG